UAUAAAAAGGUAAUUAAGGAAAGUGUUCCUUUUCCCACUCACCCCUUUCUCUCUCUUUUGGUCCUUUCUCUUUCUUUGGUUCACCUGUGCCGUUGACAUGGUGAUCUUCUCUUUCUUCUGAUUUGUGGGUUGGUCCAGUCAUGAGUAUGCUUUCAGAGUUAAGGACGCCAGUGACCAUGUUAACCUUGCCGCGAUUCUGUUUGACCGAGCCUUAGUUGCAGCUUUCCGUUGCCGGUGCCUCUCCCACCACUCCGGGAAGCCGAUCGGUUUAAAAUAGCCUUCCUUAGUGUGACGGGUCCCUCCACAGUGACUACACUUGAGGUGAGUCUUGUCUUCCCUAUCACGCCGGGAUGACGAAAAAUCCGAACGGUGUUUGACGGCCAACCCACUCCCAAUUUCUGAGGGAACCUUUCCCGGUGAUGAAGCGUGGGUCAUAAUGCCACGCCUCGAGAUUUCACGGCGAAUAGUGGUAUACGCCAUUUCUAUCGUGAGAAGUGGGUCUUGAUUUAAUGAAUCCCUUUUUCCUUAUCAAAAGUGUCGUUAAUUACGGCCAAGAACUAGAAUAAACGUUAUUUUUGGAUGAAAGUGUUGAAGAUAGUUAUAUCUUUUGCAUGUAUCAUUGGGUUCGGCAUUCGUCGAUUCAUUUCCUUUCAGAUUGUGGUCAGUUUCCCAUAAAAAAAUUUCUAUGGGUUCUUGAUUCUGUUUGAGGGCGCUAGCUUUAGAACUCAGAUCAAAGAUCUGGAGUUCAUCCCUACCACUACACAAUAAGACUUUGAUUCCUCUCCAUAAAUCUCGUGCAACAGUAUGGUCUAAAAACUGAUUGAUGAGUUCUGUGUCAAUAUUUGAUAUGAUCCAUGAUAGGAUUAUGGAGUCCCUUUGUUUCCAGGUUUGGUAUGUGGGGUCAGAGGUGCUUAGAGGGGCGUCUGUGAUGUGGCUGAGACGUCCCAUGCCCUCUAAAGCAAUUUGCAUCAAUUUACACCAAGUGGUUGAAUUCUGAUAAUUUAAUUUUUUGGCUAAUUUUAAGUCUGGUGAUGAGGUUUCAAGGGUUGUGUUUGGUUUAUGCAUCUGUUGAAACAGUUUGAACAUUCCAUCUGUUCCAUGGUUACAAGUUGUUGUUUUGAAUCAGUUUCAGCCGUUGUGAAUUGCAGGUAAGAUUGUUAAGGUAAAUGAUGAUGACCAAAAAAGAUUAAGAAAAGAUUAAGCGGAAAAUAAGAAAGGUUUUUAAACAAAGGGUUGUCAGAUUUCAAUCUGGCCUUCACUUGGGUUUCCUAAAUAAAGCUAGGAUAUACACAUUCUUCAAGCCAAAGUUCAUCUUUUACCCGACUUCGGACUUCCCUAUCAGAAAAGAUCGGUUACUGAAGGUACGUUGCCAUUUAUAGGCACCUUAGGGAGAACCCGAGUAUCAGUGUUACCCGAGUAUAAGUGUUACCCGAUCUUUAAGUACUUCGAGAAUUGGUGCCAAGAUGAGAACAGACACAUAGAGUGAUGAAUGUGGCUUCGUGAAGAACUUGAAAAGGAUGGCCUUGGUAGCUGAACCGGUUUCAGAGAUCUUGGUUGCAUAUCUGAUGCCAUCUACUGAAUCAGGCUCAGUUGAUUUAGCUGAGUUUGAGCCUUAGCUUGUAUAUUAGAUAUAUCUUGUGUACUAAAGCCUAUAAAUGCUCCAAAACUAUGACAAGUAUUGAUAGCUUGUACUAAAUAUAGUAACGAUAAUGAGUUAUAGCCUAAACAUUCAAGAAACGACUCAUGUCAUUUGCAUGGUAAUGAACAUAUAUCCCUUGUGUUUUACUUCA